GGAGGCAUUCACGGCUGGUGAAAGGUUUCUUUUUGAAACACUUUUCAUUUAUUUGAGUGUUGCACCGUUUUUAUUAUUGUUUUUUUUUUUCCAAUUUUUAUUUUCCUUUUAAUCAAGCAUGAAGUGUAUGGAGAAGUGAAUUGAUUUUGAUGGAGAACAAAGCUUACGGUCAACACAUGAAGAAUGUUUAGUUUAAAUUGGAAUUGAUGAUAUGUCACGACAAUGGUAGAAAGGUUUUUAUUGUUUUUCUAUUUUUUUUGUCUUUCAAUAAUUUACAUUACAUGUUGAAGUGUUCUUUUUUUCAUAUAUCUUUUUAAUUUAGUGUAGCAUUUUAAUAAUUUUAACUGUGCUAGAUUUUAAUAAUUUUGUCUUUGAAUUUUUUUGUUAUUACAGUGUUAGGAUGGACAUUUUCUUUAACUUUAAUGUUGUCUAGUAUUUUUGGUAGUGUUAAUUUGACUGUGAUGGUAGCUUAGGUUAGUUGGUUGGUUGUUAAUAAAGAUUCUGUUUGCAUUCGUCUUUUGAUUUAGUUCAUUCGCAUUCACAAACCGUUCACACCCCCCCCCCCACUACGUGUUUGACCUAAUUCUCGAACCACAGUUUGGUCCUUGAGAGACGACCUAGGAGUCAUUCCCUAACUAUACUGCAUUUCUCAUAUGCAAUCAAAUUUGUAUGGGUUGCGACAACCCAUCAUUGAAUAUUUAAACUAUAUUAUGGAAUUGAAUUUUAUACAGGUCUGAAUAUGGAUAGUAGCAUAUACAAAUCUAAUAUUUAAAAAAAGAAGUCACUUUUUAUACCGGUUCAAGUCAUAUCAGGUAUAAAAAAAAAAAUUCGCAGCGGUUAUAACAACAUCAGGUAUAAAAGCAAGUUUCUUUUAUACUUGUUCUGGUUUUAGUAGGUAUAAAAGUGAGAUGAGAUGACUUUUUUAUACCUAAUCCUCAAAUACCAUGUGUAAAUAUCAAACUUUUAUAUUUGUUGCAGACAGAACCGGUGUAAAAAGUUAAAUUUUUUAGACCGGUUCUAGAACUGGUGUAAAAAAAAUGAAAACAUUCUAUACCCCU
rnacentral:lncRNA from 1 species